CCUACGGGUGGCAGCAGUGGGGAAUAUUGGGCAAUGGGCGAAAGCCUGACCCAGCAACGCCGCGUGAAGGAAGAAGGCUUUCGGGAUGUAAACUUCUAUUGACAGGGAAGAGGAGAAGACGGUACCUGUCGAAUAAGCCACGGCUAACUACGGGCCAGCAGCCGAGGUAAUACGUAGGUGGCAAGCGUUGUCCGGAUUUACUGGGUGUAAAGGGCGGGUAGCCGGGCUGACAAGUCAGAUGGGAAAUCCGGGGGCGCAACCCACGAACUGCAUUUGAAACUGUUGGUCUUGAGUAUCGGAGCGGCAGGCGUAAUUCCUAGUGUAGCGGUGAAAUGCGUAGAUAUUAGGCGGAACCCCAGUGGCGAAGGCGGCUUACUGGACUGUACCUGCCGUUGCGGCUCGAAAGCGUGGGGAGCAAACAGGAUUAGAUCCCCCAGUAGUC
rnacentral:rRNA from 1 species